CCAGAGUCUGGAGAAGUCAGGUGAGGCCCAGGGCCUACGCCCUCUACAAGAAGAUCUGGUUCUCAUUCUUUCAACGGUUUGUUCCCUGAAACAGCAAGAAAGGAGACUCACAACUGGGAGUCAGGAGAACACAUUCCACUCCUUCCCCACCUUUAAAAGGCUGAGUGACCUUGUUCACACAAUUCUUAACCUGAUCAAGCUUCAGUCUUCUCUCCAGUGAGUGAAGAGCUCUGACAUCCUAUAUUGCAAACACCUAAAGUUUGUCUUUUAAGAGCCCCGUAAAACAGAGCUGGCCUUACCAUCAAGCUUCUCAUCAUUAACAAUAUAUCAGGGGUAUUUGCCCACAUGCACUGUCAUGGUCAACUCAUCAGUUAAAUGAUGCAUUUUAUUAGGACAGCCCAGACGCCUGAGUUAUCAGCUAAACAAAGCAUGCCAUCCUUCACUGCCUAGAGCCUGGAGACAGAAGUCCGUGUUCAACACAGGUAACAAAAUGCACUCAAAGGCUCUGGGGUCAGCCAGCGCUGGAUUACAUACGAUUCCAGCUCUGCCGCUGAGAGCCGGGAAAAUGACACAACCUCUCUGAGACUUAUUUCAGCAUUUCGCCAUUCGCUAAAUGGGAGAUGGCCCUAUUAGGCUACAGAGGAUCAAUAAGUUAUGUUCUGUGUAUGUGUGUUUAAUGCAGAUCCGAUUGCACCACUCCUCUAUGUAUGCUUUCUCUUCCACACGGCUCUUCUAGUAAAUGCAGACUUCUUGCAAGGAUGGUGGACAGGAUUCUGCAGGAUCCAGGGGGGCUGCCCAUGUGGCUCACUGAGUUUCAGCUCCUCACCCUCACCUAGCGCCUCCUUCCUCAGGGCCUCCACUUGUCAUUCCCCAGGUCUGCAAAGCUCUUCCCUCUAGGGCUCUGCCUGUUUCAUUCUGAAUCUUCCUAAAGUCUGUGCUUGGACAUCAUUCCUUAGAAUACGCUUUUCUGACUGCCACAGUCUCCAGCAGGUCCCUCUGCUGGACUUUCCUAUAAUACCUUCUACUUAUCCUCACAGCCUCGUCAGCAUUCAUGACCAACAACUGUUGCUCACACGGAUGACUGUAUGUCAGCCCCAGGACAGCGCAGAGCCCACUGCAGGCCCUCACCCUGAGCUCCCACUGCUUUUACCUCUAUCUGGGCCGUGUGCUUGGCAUAAAAUUCCAGAGCUUCAUCUCCAUCCACUUGGCCACCAGGUUUCAACAUGGUCUGAAGUUCUUUGUUAUGCCGAGCCAACUAGAACACACAUACGGAAAACAGGGGAGUCACUGUCUCAUCGCAGCAGGCACACAUGCGCUAUUUUCCAAGCUGGGGUAUAGAGAAAGCAUCAUAACGAGCGGCAGGCAGAGGAGCAGGGGUGGCCAGAGGCUUGCUGCAUCCCGUCAAGGUGUGCUUGGCACAGUGGCUAUGAGGGACAUGGGGUUUUCUGUACAGCCACAUGGAGUCUCCACUCAGAAUGUUCUGAAACCCUCUCAGUGGCCAGCCACAGGUAACGGAAGAGAUGAGGGGCAGGAGCCUGUUUUCUAUUCUUCUGCCAGCAUGCUGUAUGUAGCAGGGCAGGCCAACCUCCUGGCCCGUACCAUGGGUGCUUUAUCCCUCAUUCCUGCAACUGAACAAGGUGAAAGGGACAGGAAACACAAGCCUGGCGCAGAGGUACAAGCUGCCCACACAUGUCAGCAAGCUCAAGGCUCAUCAGACUCCAGAAAAAGAAAGUAUCUUCAAAAGCCCAGCCACUUGGGAAGAGAGUUAUGAAACAGCAUUUUGGUGCCAGGGUGGGAUACUCCCCUCCCCCCAAAAGCAAACAAAAAGAAGUCAUAACGACAAGUUCGUUCCCAAAGAUUUCUAAGUGUGAUAGGCAAGGCGGCCGAGGUUUCUUUAAGAGACUCAUCAAUAUUUAUGAAAAGCCUAAGACGCCUUUCAACCUUCUCCAAACACAGCCAUAAACCACCAAAGUGUCAAGGCUCAGCGUGGAGGCUUUUAAGAAACGUGGGGAUUUCCAGGGCCAUGACCCUUCCGUGGGAAAACAGGAGUCCUGGAACUCGGUACACUGCAUCGGAUUGCCACUAGGACCUGUGAGCCACAUUAUCACGAAUACAAACAGCCCUAAGUUAAAACCUUAAAGGAAAAGCAAGUCGAAGCACACGUUCACCUUGGAACUCUGGCACUGAAGGCCAGUGCCAACUGGCUCUGGGACCUAGAGAGAGGUCAUACCUGAUGAGCUAAUAUGUAGAUAUUGUGCCCCACAUUCCUGGGGGAGGCAGCUCCGUCCUCACCAUUCUCUCCAUCCUCAAAUUCCACUUCACCUUGCAUGUAGGCUUUCUUGAUCACUUCCACCUGUGAAGAAUGGUCAAACGAAUAAAGCUCCUGUUUCAAGGAAGUCCCACAAAGGACUGGCAUCUAUAGUCUCCCCUUCUGGGGCAGACAGUGUUCAGGAAGCUCAGCAUUCUUUCCUAUCAGGUUUGGAUCCAGCCUUAGAAUCCUUCUCAAUACUGCCACGGGCAGUCACUACCAAUCACCUUCCCCCAAAGCGAGAAAUGGAAUGCAUUUGCUGUAGCUGGACCAAGAGCUCUUCUAUAGCCGACCAAGGGGAUAAUGGUUAUCAACAUCCCUUGAAACAAUAAAAUAUGACACAAAUGUAGACUAGAAGCCAGACCUUUCCUAUCUAUGCAUUUCCUCUUGCCUUCUUCUCCCCAACCCCCAACCUUUGCCAUCUCAGGAAAACCUAGUAAGAAAUCCACUAGCCUUGAGGAAUAGCUGGUCAGACUAUUAUCUCUGAUUUCACAUUCUUCCCUAUCCACAUUCCUCUGUCCCUACUCCAUGUAAAAAUAA